rnacentral:rRNA from 1 species
AUGCCCUAUAGUAUCUUUUUAAGGCAUCUUAUUAAGAUUAAAGGUUACGGUAUGAGAUGAGUAUGCGUUCUAUUAGCUAGUAGAUGUGGUAACGGCACACCUAGGCUACGAUAGAUAGGGGCCCUGAGAGGGGGAUCCCCCACACUGGUACUGAGACACGACCAGACUCCUACGGAGGCAGCAGUAAGGAAUAUUGGUCAAUGGACGAAAGUCUGAACCAGCCAUGCCGCGUGCAGGAUGACUGCCCUAUGGGUUGAAACUGCUUUUAUAUAGGAAGAAAAACUUUCUCGUGAGA